GGCGGUGUUGUGGUUGCCCCGCGGAAGUCAAGCGAGGCGGGCGGGUUGCGAGAACGGAGAAGGCGCGGGAGGGCAGCGGUGUCAUGUGCGCAGCGCCCAGUCGAGCGCGGAGCGGCGGGUCGGGCGGGGAGCGCUACGUGCGGGUUUUUAAAGCAUGUGAUGAAGAUAAGAAAGGAUAUUUAAGCAGAGAGGACUUUAAGGUCGCUGUGGUGAUGCUAUUUGGUUACAAACCAUCAAAGGUGGAGGUGGAUUCAGUAAUGGCCUCAGUACAACAAAAAAAUUCAGGUGUAUUACUUGAAGAAUUUUUAAAACUUAUGAGUACAAAGAAGGCUGCACAACUACACCAUAGUGAAAUAAGGCAGAUAUUCACAGCUUUUGACAUGCAAUAUAAAGGAUUUUUGACUUUGGAAGAUUUCAAAAGAGCCUUCAAUUCCGUUGCUCCAAAGUUACCUGAAAGGAUCAUAGUUGAAGCUUUCAGAAAUCUAAAAAUACUCAUUUUCACAAUUUCAUGACUUGUUUGAGAAACUGGAACUUGAGAGCUGUCUCUUGAAGACCGUGGAACUAACAUGCUAGUACACUCUACAAGAGAUUACAGCUGUAAAGAGACUUAGAAGGAACCCCCUCUCCUCCUCCCCUUGUUUGAUAGUCUUUUGGAUGGUGUCAAAGAUGGUAAUAACUGUCCUUUGGGGCAGAAGAGAAGUUAGUAGAAAUGGAUCGGAGCUGCUGCUGUCUGAUACCGUUUUAUCCCAAGUGGUGUUUGGGAUUCGGCUGGAGCUGAUAGAUGUGUUGAUGUCAUCUGGGUACCUUUCUCUGGCCUGGUCUGGUAAAGACAUAUCUCGGGAUUAGGAUGAUGAAGGCCUGGAGUCCCAGGAGAUGGGAGGAGGACAGGUGGGAUCCAUGGUGAUGAAGCUUGCUUCAGUAGUCUCUGGCUGUUUUUCGGCUCCAUCUGUUCGUUCAGUCUUUUCCUCCCAAAGUCUCUUUCUUUAAAGACCUCCAAAGGAAAUCGUGUGUGGAAUAGCCCAUCCCCUUAUUUAUUUUGUGCACUAAUAAGGCCUAAUACUCAACACACCAAUUUUGGUUCAUGGACUUCUGGCCAUCAUCUGUUUUUAACAAGCAUAAUUUCAACAGUCCUUUGAUUAUAUCGAUGUGGUCUUUUUAGUUUAGGCUAAUCCAGUUUCUUGGUCUGGUUUUCUGGCACCUAUUCCCAUCAACACUUGUUGUUAUAGGUUAUUGUGACAUUUUAUGAUCUCCCACUCACUUUUUACAGUUAAAUUUACAAUUAGAGUAGAUUUGAAGGCUCUAUUAUCACAACAGCACUCACAAAGAGAAAGUUAUUUGAUCCACAGUUCAAAAGUUUUGUGGGAAUUCUUAUAUUACAGGAAUGUUUCUCCCUCUAUCCAUUUCAGAUAGAUGAAGUUUGAGUGAUUUAUAAAAAUGUUCGGGUGUUUUUUUUUUUUUGGCUAUCAGUUGCAUAGUUGGAGUCCCAAAGCUGCAUUCCAGUAUGCAGGAAGUACGAGUUUUGUCUGAACUAAUGUGACAUCAUAUAUAUGUUUUCUUCCUAUAAAAAUUGUAAUAGGUUCUUAUAAUACUCACAAUAUUCAUUGUAUUAAGUCUUAAAAUGAAAUUGUACUGUAUUUGUUCCAAAGCCUCCAUGUGGAUAUUUGGUCCAAAUUAACUGUUUUGGUUUUAAAGUUAUUUUAAAGGUGAUCUUGUAAUGGUUGUGAGAUUAGUUUUUGCUUCCCCCCCCCCCAGUAUGGUGCAUAGUGAGCCACCCAGCAGAGCAGCAGUCAAAGCAUCUUCACGAUCACUAAAAAGGGGGAGAAACGACAUUAAGUAUGGAAUAACUUGUAUGUUGAGUGACCUUCUUAUCUUUGUACAUUAAAGAUUUAACACAUCUCUGUAGGGCUAAUCAUUUUAAAAAGCUCUUUUCAGGGCAUUUUUAAGGAUAUGGCGCAUUGCUGGGGAGUGUAUAAUAUUUGUGGCUGAUCAGAUUGAAGGUAGGCCAAGAAACAUCCAUUUAUAGUAAGUCUUGUAUUAUACAAGAAGAAGAAAAUGCAACAACCCACAUUAAUAAAAGGAGGACAUAAAAAUAUUGCUUUUCAUGCCUACUAAAACAGCGGUUAUCAACAGGGGGUCCGCGAACCCUUUCAGAGGGCCUGCAGGGCCCCAUGGCUAAAACUUGAUAUAGAUAUAUCUUGACUUUAGCAAAGCUUUUGAUACAGUCUCCCACAGUAUUCUUGCCAGUACAUUAAUGUAUGGAUUGGAUGAAUGGACUAUAAGAUGGAUAGAAAGCUGGCUAGAUUGUCUGGUUCAACGGAUAGUGAUCAAUGGCUCGAUGUCUAGUUGGCAACCGGUAUCAAGUGGAGUGCCCCAGGGGUCGAUCUUGGGGCCGGUUUUGUUCAACAUCUCUAUCAAUGAUCUGGAUGAUGGGCUUAAUUACACCCUGAGCAAGUUCGCAGAUGGACACUAAGCUGGGGGGAGAGGUAGAUAUGCUGGAGGGUAGGGAUAGAGUCCAGAGUGACCUAGACAAAUUGGAGGAUUGGGCCAAAAGAAAUCUGAUGAGGUUCAACAAGGACAAGUGCAGAGUCCUGCACUUAUGAAGGAAGAAUUCCAUGCACUGCUACAGGCUGGAGACAGAGUGGCUAAGCAGCAGUUCUUCAGAAAAGGACCUGGGGAAUACAGUGGACGAGAAGCUUGAUAUGAAUCAGCAGUGUGCCUUCGUUGCCAAGAAGGCCAACAGCAUAUUAGGCUGUAUUAGUAGGAGCAUUGCCAGCAGGUUGAGUGAAGUGAUUAUUCCCCUCUAUUCGGCACUGGUGAGGCGACAGCUGGAGUAUUGCACCCAGUUUUGGUCCCCGCACUACAGAAGGGAUGUGGACAAAUUGGAGAGUCCAGCUGAGGGCAGCAAUUAGGGGGCUGGAGCACAUGACUUACGAGGAGAGGCUGAGGGAACUAGGGUUAUUUAGUCUGCAGAAGCCAAAAGUGAGGGGGGAUUUGAUAGCAGCCUUCAGCAUCCUGAAGGGGGGUUCCAAAGAGGAUGGAGCUAGGCUGUUCUCAAUAGUGGUAGAUGACAGAACAAGAAGCAAUGGUCUCAAGUUGCAGUGAGGGAGGUCUAGGUUGGAUAUUAGGAAAAACUAUUUCACUAGGAGGGUGGUGAAGCACUGGAAUGGGUUACCUAGGGACAUGGCGGAAUCUCCAUCCUUAGAGGUUUUUAAGGCUUGACAAAGCCUUGGGUGGGAUGAUUUAGUUGGUGUUGGUCCUGCUUUGAGCAGGGGAUUGGACUAGAUGACCUCCUGAGGUCUCUUCCAACCCUAAUAUUCUAUGGUUCUAAAACCCAGAGCCCGAGUCCCAGCAUCUCCCACGGGGCUGAAGCCAGGAGCCGCAGGGUUGAAGCCCCAAUUCCCAGCACCCCCCACGGGGCAGAAGCCCUUAGCACAUGGGCAGAGUUGAGGGGGCACAGGGGUAUUGCCCCCUCCACAAGCUACAGUGCAAGAACAGGGCAGUCCCAGGGCAGCUUCACACACACACCCUCCACCUCCUUCUCUCCCUGUCGAUUGGCCAGGUUGGAGGCAGGAAGCCAGACCCAGGUAGUGAGGGACAGCUGCUGCUCUCUGGCUGGUACAAUGGAGCAGGCAGCCACAGCAUUCCCUCGUCUCCUGCUGCUACUGAUGCAGAGGGUUGAAUCUGUUCCUCAGCUCCCAGCCCCCUUUGCUCAUGCAGCUAGUAAGCACCGCCUGGGUGGGGGACCUGGUCCAAGGCUGACAGAGCCCUUGGGGUACAGGACCCCAGGGGAGCCCUCCCGACACACAGCCCCAUCCAACUCCCUCCCUGCAGCCUGAGCUACCCCUGCCUGUACACAGCGCCGAGCUACUCCUCUCCAUGCACCCUGAGCAACCCCUCUGUCUGCACACAGCCCCUAGCUACACUUUGGCCUGCACCCUGAGCUAAGCCCCUGCCCGCACACCACCCUUAGCUACCCCUCUCCCUGCACCCUGAACUGUUUUCAAACUUUUUGAGCUGAGCCCCCCACCUUUGAGUUAUAAUUUUUGGUUUUGCCCCCCACAUACACACAUACAACCCAGAUAGGCGUGUGGCCUGCUGAGGUGAGGCGGGGGGUGGAAAUGAAUUGGCACUCCCUCCCUGGACCUCGCCGUGUGGAGCUGGCUUGAGCCCCACUAGACUGACCACCCAAAAUAGAAGUCAAACUACACCUAUGCCCGAGCCCCCUCCCCCACUGGGCCCUGGAGUUUUUAUAGCAUGUUGAGGGGGGCCUCAGAAAGAAAAAGAUUGAGAAACCAUGUAGUAAAGGUUUGAAAAAUAUUUUGCUGUUACUUUAUAUUCUCCAUUGCUGUCACUUUGGGAACAAAGUGACCCUCGUGGAUGUGUCAUUUAAGGAUUCUUUUGUUGUAUGAGAAGCAGCUAAUGUUUGAUUUGUCUGUGCUGUAAUUGUUUAAAAUCCUUCUCUUGUCAUAUAACAAAUAUAUUGACUUACGGUAAGGUCCGUACUGGUCUGCUGACCAAAGCAAAGUAACAUUAAUCAUGAUUAAAUAAAGUACACUUAUUCAUAUAA